CAGUCGCCGCGGGAAUACGAAGGGGGCUAGCGUUGCUCGGAAUUACUGGGCGUAAAGGGCGCGUAGGCGGCGCUCCAAGUUAGGCGUGAAAUUCCCGGGCUCAACCUGGGGACUGCGCUUAAGACUGGAGUGCUUGAGGAUGGAAGAGGGUUGUGGAAUUCCCAGUGUAGAGGUGAAAUUCGUAGAUAUUGGGAAGAACACCGGUGGCGAAGGCGGCAACCUGGUCCAUUACUGACGCUGAGGCGCGAUAGCGUGGGGAGCAAACAGGAUUAGAUACCCGAGUAGUCCCUGUCUCUUAUAA
rnacentral:rRNA from 1 species